rnacentral:rRNA from 1 species
AUUGAACGCUGGCGGCAGGCCUAACACAUGCAAGUCGAGCGGAUGAGUGGAGCUUGCUCCAUGAUUCAGCGGCGGACGGGUGAGUAAUGCCUAGGAAUCUGCCUGGUAGUGGGGGACAACGUUUCGAAAGGAACGCUAAUACCGCAUACGUCCUACGGGAGAAAGCAGGGGACCUUCGGGCCUUGCGCUAUCAGAUGAGCCUAGGUCGGAUUAGCUAGUUGGUGAGGUAAAGGCUCCCCGAGGCGACGAUCCGUAACUGGUCUGAGAGGAUGAUCAGUCACACUGGAACUGAGACACGGUCCAGACUCCUACGGGAGGCAGCAGUGGGGAAUAUUGGACAAUGGGCGAAAGCCUGAUCCAGCCAUGCCGCGUGUGUGAAGAAGGUCUUCGGAUUGUAAAGCACUUUAAGUUGGGAAGAAGGGCAGUAAGUUAAUACCUUGCUGUUUUGACGUUACCGAUAGAAUAAGCACCGGCUAACUUCGUGCCAGCCGCCGCGGUAACAC